GACGAACGGUGCGAACGUUGUUCGGAAUCACUGGGCUUAAAGGGCGCGUAGGCGGCUUCGCAAGUCCGGGGUGAAAGCCCCCAGCUCAACUGGGGAAGUGCCUUGGAUACUGCGGGGCUCGAGGAGGGUAGGGGUGAGCGGAACUUCCGGUGGAGCGGUGAAAUGCGUUGAUAUCGGAAGGAACGCCCGUGGCGAAAGCGAGGUCCUGGACGUCUACUGACGCUGAGACGCGAAAGCUAGGGGAGCAAACGGG
rnacentral:rRNA from 1 species